rnacentral:rRNA from 1 species
GACGAACGCUGGCGGCGUGCUUAACACAUGCAAGUCGAACGGAAAGGCCCUGCUUUUGUGGGGUGCUCGAGUGGCGAACGGGUGAGUAACACGUGAGUAACCUGCCCUUGACUUUGGGAUAACUUCAGGAAACUGGGGCUAAUACCGGAUAGGAGCUCCUGCUGCAUGGUGGGGGUUGGAAAGUUUCGGCGGUUGGGGAUGGACUCGCGGCUUAUCAGCUUGUUGGUGGGGUAGUGGCUUACCAAGGCUUUGACGGGUAGCCGGCCUGAGAGGGUGACCGGCCACAUUGGGACUGAGAUACGGCCCAGACUCCUACGGGAGGCAGCAGUGGGGAAUAUUGCACAAUGGGCGGAAGACUGAUGCAGCAACGCCGCGUGCGGGAUGACGGCCUUCGGGUUGUAAACCGCUUUCGCCUGUGACGAAGCGUGAGUGACGGUAAUGGGUAAAGAAGCAGCGGCUAACUACGUG